AUGGAAAAAAUAGAGUGGGAAAAUGAAAAGGGACCAAUAUUUUCAGAAAAAACAAUCUUAGGACAAACUAUGUCAGAACAAAUAAUGUCAGAACAAAUAAUGUCAGAACAAAUAAUGUCAGAACAAAUAAUGUCAGAACAAACAAUGUCAGGGAAAACUAUGUCAGACACUAAAACCAAAAGAGGCAUACCAAGCGAAUCAAAUUUUUACAAAACAUUUGAAUAUUUCAUUAAUUUAUUGUGUUUAUUAUAUUUUUUAAAAAAUAUAUAUUUCGAUUUAAAUUAUAAAACAAUAAAAAAUGCAUACUCUUUUUUAUUCAAAGGUUUUGAAGAAAGAAAAAAUAAAAUUAUUAAUUAUUUGUUUUUUCUUAAAAAAAUAAAAAUGUAUAUAAUUAUGGAUGAUGAAAUUAUAAAAAUAUAUUGUAAUUAUUUUCAAUAUAUUUAUAUUAAUGAAUAUUUAAUUAGGAAUAUAUUUGAUGUAUCAAUGAACGCUUUUAUUUUUACUGCUGUAAUAAAUUUUAAAAACGAAUAUGCAAAAAUAGAAUCAGUAAAUCAUGAGAGUACACCACUAACUGGUACACUACCAACAGGUACAUCACCAACAGGUAUUGGCAUGAACGAUCAAAUUAAUCCUAACAGUAGUGUAAGUCUUACUCCUACCUAUACUUCUUCAGAAAAUCAAAGCAUUUUUAAAGUCAAUGAUAACAGUAAUAGUGAAAGCGGUAUUAGUAACAAUUAUAAUCAAUCAUAUAAAAACACUUUUGAAAAUGUAAACACUGUAAUGAGAGAUAAAAACAACACAGGUUAUGAUAAUGAUGGUGAUAAUAAAAAAGAUUAUACAUAUACAAAAUUAACUACUGCAUUUGUUUCGAACGAAAAUAAGAAUAAAAAAAGUAAAGGAUUAUACAUAGAAGCAAUAUACAAACUUAGUGAUAUUGACGAUAUUUAUUCAAGUAAACGAAUUAAUAAUUUAUUUUAUUUUUUUAAUAAUCCCUAUCUAAUUUUUACAUUUCAUAAAAAUAUUUUAUAUUACAUUGAACAAAAAAAUAAUGAAAAAAAUUUUUUUUCACUCUUUGAAAAUGCAUAUUCUCUAAUUAAGUAUCUUAAUCAUAGUAUAACAACAAUUUCAAAAAUUUUACAUAUAUUUGUAACCGCUGGUAUAUUUUUUAAUAAAAAUAUUAUGACACAACAAAAGAAUAAAUAUUUAAACUUUUAUAAAUUAUUUAAUUUUAAUAAUAGUAUUUUUAACAGUUUGAGACAAAGAGCGGAGGAGAAAGAGAAAAGGGAAAAAGAUAGAUAUAACAGAGAAAAACAAAAAAUGCACAAUCAGGAUAUGUACACAGUAGGAAAUUAUAUCACUAGUAAUGAUAGUAACGUUAUUCAUAGCAAUAACAAUAGAACAUGUAAUAACAGCAUAAAAAGUAAUAAUAACAGAAAUAAUAUACUUAACCAAGAUCAAAAUAACAUCCAAAGUAAAAUACCAAAUUACUCAAACAAUGAUAACAGUUCAUUCGGAUAUAACUACUUUUCUUCCGAAUUAGAACAAAAUUUUACAAACAAUUUGAAUGAUAAAAAAUUAGUACAAAAUGGUGAGUACCUAGCUAAUAAUACAAAUCAAGAAAACUCUAUUUAUAAUACUGAUAUAAAUUUUGAAAAUACGAAUAUAUACGAUUUUAACAUUAUUAAAUACUUAAAUAAAUAUAAAAAUGUAGUUAGUAAUUUGUGUCAAGAUGAUUUUAAUGAAAAAGAAGAGUAUAGUGCAGAAGAGCAAAAUUAUGACAAUAACAAUAAUAAUAAUAAUAAUAGUUUAAAUAAAAAACAGGAAAAAUUAAAUGAACAAACUAUAAAUCAAGGAAAAAACAAAUUAUAUAAGGAUGAUAGUAAUGUUAGUAGUGAAUAUAAAAAAAAAAAAAAAAUACAAAAAAAAGAAAAAAAAUGUAUAAAUCAUAUAAAAAUAGUACACCUUAUUAUAAAGAAAAUAAUACAUACAUGUCAGGCAUGA
ensembl:lncRNA